rnacentral:rRNA from 1 species
UACAGAGGGUGCAAGCGUUGUUCGGAAUUAUUGGGCGUAAAGCGCGUGUAGGCGGCUUUGCAAGUCGGGUGUGAAAGCCCUCAGCUCAACUGAGGAAGUGCGCCCGAAACUGCAUGGCUUGAAUACCGGAGAGGAUGGCGGAAUUCCCCAAGUAGAGGUGAAAUUCGUAGAUAUGGGGAGGAACACCGGUGGCGAAGGCGGCUCUCUGGGACGGUACUGACGCUGAGACGCGAAAGCGUGGGGAGCGAACAGG